rnacentral:snRNA from 1 species
GCAUGAUAAGUGAUCUAGCUGCAACAUUCAUUACUGCACUGUUGACUCUGCUGAUCCAGCCAAGUAGACAACUAUCCUCUUCCUUCCUCACUGUUUCAUGUGUCCCACCCAAAGUUUAGUUAAAGAAGAUGAUGACCUCCUCUGAUAGAGGGGGACCGUUCUUCAGCCAAGGGUAUAGGAGUAGCUAUGCUUCUGUCAUGAAUGCACUAUGAGAAACAUAGAUGGACCCUUUUGUGUCUUUCCACAAUGUCAGAAUUUAUUGAAUAACAAUAAAUUCAAAAGCUAUGAUGGUUUCUUU